ACAAGAAAAAUUAAAUUUUUUUUUGUCGUAAACAAUAUUAUUGUCCUCACAAUGCGUAGAAGAAUCUUUGAUUAUAAUUAGGUCCAUAAAUUAUAUCAUGGUUUAUCAAUAUAUCACACCACGAAAUUAUAGAUUCGUCCAGUAUACCAUCUCUGCGAGAAACGCAGGGUGGCCAACUUAGGCCCACGGCCAACUUAGGACUAUUCUCCCCCAAAAUAUAAUUAAUUUUGUGUUAGAAAAUAAAAAUUGUUAAUAAAUAAAUUGCCUAUAACAUAACAAAUAGUAAUUGUUUAUGACAAUAAAUUUCACUGGUACUUACUUGCAUAUCAUAAGUAUAGUAAAUUAUGAAAAAUUCAGUCGCUAAAUUUACAUAAUAUUAAAAAAAAGCUUUUGUUAAUUUAUUUCUUUGGAACAAAGGCAAAAAUUGUUUAAACAAAAUAGUUAAUGUCUCAAGAUAUUUUUAGAACAUGGCUAUAAUGUUUUGGUAAUUAUUAAUAAUAUAAUAGGCUUUUGUAAGCAACAAUAUUUGUUUAAAGUAAAAAAAUUUCUCAUUUUUUUUUAUUAACAUUUAAUAAACAAUUAACGGGAAUUUUUUUUAAUAAAAAACGUACAUUUUAUGACAAAUUUUAUUAGCUUUAAUUUAAAAAAAAAUUGUCAAUCGGUUAAAAAUUAUGGUCUAAAAAUUAAUUUGUCCAAUAGCGUGUUUUUUGCCCCACUGUGCUUUACCAGCAAUGAGACGUUUUGAAUGCCAGUAUUGGCUUAGUAAUUUUUGUCAGUUUCCUGCAGACAUUGACGGGCCCGUUUUGAAGUCUUGGAAUUUCGCAUUUGGAGCUUAUAAAAAACCAUUUAUUUGCUUUUUUCCGAGAAGCACCACGUGGAGUGGUCAUUUGGUGUACUUUUGUGGGAGCUAACAACUUUAGCCCAACAGCCGUACGUAGAAGUUGAUCCGUUCGAAAUGUCAUCCUAUCUUCGAGACGGUUAUAGGUUAGCUCAACCAAUUAACUGCCCUGACGAAUUAUUUGCAGUAAUGGCUUACUGCUGGGCUAUGUCAUCAGACGAAAGACCAACUUUUAAUCAACUGAUAGUGUGUUUGCAAGACUUUCAUAUGCAAUUAACAAGAUAUGUUUAAUUUCUAAAAAAUUAUGUUAAAUAAAUAUUUUGUACAUGCUAGUUAUUAUAAUAUUUGUAUAUAUAGAGUGCAAUUGAAUGAUAAGGGUUAACUAUCUAAAACUAUAGCACUAUUGUUCUCUUUUAAGAUUAUAUUUAAAAUUUAUAUAAGUGUCAUUGGAGUAUUAGGAUGCAUAUUAACUUUAAGGUUUCUUGUUUCCUCAUUACACAAAUAAACAAUUGUAAAAUAUUUGUAGUCCCCAUUACUCGAGUGUUUUUAGUGUCGCGGAAUGCGAAUCUGAUGUUAGAUUUUUAAAAUUCAUACUGAAGGACAUUGAUAUUCAUCCCUUAAUCCAGACAAGUAUGCGAAAAUCAUAAUUUUAUCCAUGAAUGAAUAAAAUAUCUUUUGUCAGAAAAAGUCACAAAUAGAUAUUUGUGUAAACACAGUGUAGCGCACAGAUAGAAGAGCAAGCAAGAUUGAAAAUUCAAAAAAUCGAGAGAAUUUUUUUUUCCAUAAACGUUCGGCAUACACGGUUGGCAUGACGAACCGUGAUAAUUUUAAUUUUAUGUAGUAGAAUUGUCUUUUAACAGAUUUUUCAUGUAUUCAAAUUAGUAUUGAUUAUAGAAUAUAUAUCAAAAUGACUUGUAAUCGAA